rnacentral:rRNA from 1 species
UACGAAGGGGGCUAGCGUUGUUCGGAAUCACUGGGCGUAAAGGGCGCGUAGGCGGCUGUUCCAAGUCGGGGGUGAAAGCCUGUGGCUCAACCACAGAAUGGCCUUCGAUACUGGACGGCUCGAGACCGGAAGAGGUGAGUGGAACUGCGAAGUGUAGAGGUGAAAUUCGUAGAUAUUCGCAAGAACACCAGUGGCGAAGGCGGCUCACUGGUCCGGUUCUGACGCUGAGGCGCGAAAGCGUGGGGAGCAAACAGG